UUUCCUUUCUCUUUGCAGUAUUUUGAUGCCAGAGCUGACUGAUGGGUGCACAUGGUUCCUUCCUAUGUUCUUCCUUUGAAAAAAUAAACGUAUUUUGAUGCCAGAGCUGACUGAUGGGUGCACAUGGUUCCUUCGUAUGUUCUUCUUUUGAAAAAAUAAACGUAUUUUGAUGCCAGAGCUGACUGAUGGGUGCACAUGGUUCCUUCCUAUGUUCUUCUUUUGAAAAAA